CAGCAGCCGCGGUAAUACGAAGGGGGCUAGCGUUGCUCGGAAUGACUGGGCGUAAAGGGCGCGUAGGCGGAUUGCGCAGUCAGAUGUGAAAUUCCUGGGCUUAACCUGGGGGCUGCAUUUGAGACGCGUAGUCUAGAGUGUGAAAGAGGGUCGUGGAAUUCCCAGUGUAGAGGUGAAAUUCGUAGAUAUUGGGAAGAACACCGGUGGCGAAGGCGGCGACCUGGUUCAUAACUGACGCUGAGGCGCGAAAGCGUGGGGAGCAAACAGGAUUAGAUACCCCCGUAGUCCCUGUCUCUUAUAC
rnacentral:rRNA from 1 species